rnacentral:rRNA from 1 species
UGCCAGCAGCCGCGGUAAUACAGAGGGUGCGAGCGUUAAUCGGAAUUACUGGGCGUAAAGCGCACGUAGGCGGAUUAGUAAGUUAGGGGCGAAAUCCCGGGGCUCAACCCCGGAACUGCCUCUAAUACUGCUAGUCUUGAGUUCGAGAGAGGUGAGUGGAAUUCCGAGUGUAGAGGUGAAAUUCGUAGAUAUGUGGAAGAACACCAGUGGCGAAGGCGCUUUUCUGGUUUAUUCCUGACGCUGAGGCGCGAAAGCAAGGGGAGCAAACAGGAUUAGAUA